rnacentral:rRNA from 1 species
CAAUAGCGUAUACUAAUGUUGUUGCAGUUAAAAAGCUCGUAGUUGAACUUCUGGUAGGAGUGUCCCGGCCUUUUUGUUUUUACAAAUUGUAUGCUGUGUGACAUCUCUGGCCAUCCUUCUUCUUUGUUUAAAGAAGAUCUUUCACUGUAAAAAAAUUAGGGUGUUCAAAGCAAAAGUUUCUUUGGAAUAUAUUAGUAUGGGAUGAUAAGAUAGGCUCUAGAUGCUAUUUUGUUGGUUUGCACAUUUAGAGAAUGAUUAGCAGGGACAGUUGGGGGUAUUCGUACUUACAUGUCAGAGGUGAAAUUCUUGGAUUUUGGAAAGACGAACUACUGCGAAAGCAUUUACCAAGGAUGUUUUCAUUAA